UGUAUCCCAGUUCUUUAGACUUCCUUUUGUUCACUGGCUUGCUACUUCUCUAACUGUCCGGUAAGGGCACAUUUUUAUUUUGUUUAUAAUUUCCAGUCUGUCAUGGGACCCACACUUUUGUAAACCACGAUAAAGAUGAACUACCUGAAAAAUGAUGAAGCGCUUAGACAACGUGGCAAAGCGAAGUGGCUGCCAGAGUUCCUAGACAUUCGUUCUCAAGCUCCACACUCAGCCAGGCUCAGAACAGCCAGUUCCUGGACUGUCCCUGGAGCACAGGCCCUGCGACCUCUCCCUCCCCGCUCCCUGGCAUGAUUAAUGGAGGAGUUCUUUGAACACCAGCCCACUGAGCUAACCAGUGAGCAUGUUACUGUUGUUAAAGAAUUGCUAACCCCAGCUACACGCAGCUCACUGACCCUGUCGGGAGGCAGUCACCAGGAGGUGGUGGUAUGAGGGGAGACUUUUCGCUGUUUGCAAGUCAGAGCUGAUGAACACUCAGUACUUUUCCUUACUAGGAAUCGGAGAAAGGUGGACCCUGGACGUCCUUCAGCGCCAAGGCUGGUCGUGACGCUGGAAUCUCCCCUGGCCCAGACCUUCACAGUUUCCUGCUGUGAUGCCGUUUCACCAAAGCUGUGUGUGACCUUGGGCAGGUGCCCAGCUAGGCGGGUUACUUCUCAGGGUUUCUCAUUUUCCGUCAUUAAAAGGACCAACGUCGGCUGGAAGAAGUGGCUCAUGACUGUAAUCGCAGAACUUUGGGAGGCUGAGGUUGGAGGAUUGCUUGAGCUCAGGAGUUUGAGACCAGCCUAGGCAACAUAAUGAGACCUCGUCUCUACAAAAUAACUUAAAACGUAGCUGAGCAUGCUGGUGCACACCUGUAGUCGCAGCUAAUCAGGUGGCUAAGGCGGGAGGAUCACUUAAGCCCAGCAGGUCACGGCUGCGGUGAGCCGUGAUCAUGCCCCUGCACUCCAGCCUGGGUGACAGAGUGAGACCCUGUCUUAGACAAAUAAUAAUGAUUUUUUUAAAAAUCCAAAGUGUUAAAACACAUGCGCUAAUGAAGAGUCCCCCCCCCACCCCCAUGUACAGGCUUUGUGUGAGCAAUAAGGCUGUUUAUUCACCUGGGUGCGGGCAGGCUGAGUCGUAGGGCAGAGGGAGAGGAGUUGGUUUUAUAGGUUUGGGGUAAGCAGUGGAAAGUAGGUACAGAAGUUACAGUUUAGGGUGGUUUUUUGCAAGUUGGGAGGAGGUCGUAGGGUCUGGAGUCACGAGGUUAACCAAGGUUGGUCACAAAGUCCAAUGGCCGUGUCACUUGAGGCUGGAAUAAGAAACAAUAGAAGAACGUCUCAGGUUAGUUGGGCGCCGCCAGGGUUGAUGGCUCCAGGAACUCAUCUGGGGUGUACAUGCAGGUCACAGAAGUUACCACACCGUUCAUGGCGCGGUCAGUCAGCCUAAAAGACCUUACACAAAGCUCUAAAGUGUAACUUCAGCCUCUCAUCUGCUGAAGACCUUCUCCCUCCUCCUCGUUCCCAUCCCCAUCUCUCCUCCCCGGCCCCUACCUCCACCCCCACCCCACCUUCACUCUCAGCUCAGGCCUGGCUGUUUAAGGUAAUCCCGGACAGGACCGGAUGUAGACCGACUGUCUUGCUAUUCCU